rnacentral:misc_RNA from 1 species
GUGCAGUCCCCUCCUGAUGACAGUGUCAGCGUGGUCAAGUUCAGUCCUGCCACUAACAUGCAGUCCACUUUUCUGAUAGCAGGAAGCUGGGACAACAACGUUAGGUGUUGGGAAGUGCAGCAAAGCGGACAGACUGUACCUAAGGCCCAACAGACACACACUGGACCUGUCCUGGAUGUAGAUUGGAGUGAUGAUGGAACAAAAGUUUUCACAGCAUCUUGUGACAAAACAGCAAAGAUGUGGGAUCUGCAGAGUAAUCAAGCCAUUCAAAUAGCACAGCAUGAAGCACCAGUAAAGACUAUUCACUGGAUUAAAGCACCAAACUAUACAUGUGUCAUGACAGGAAGCUGGGACAAAACACUAAAGUUCUGGGACACAAGAACUCCGAAUCCCAUCGACACCAUUCAGCUUCCGGAACGUUGUUAUUGUGCAGACGUAAAAUAUCCAAUGGCUGUUGUUGGUACUGCUGGGAGAGAAUUGAUCAUAUACCAGCUGGAGAAUCGCCCACAGGAAUUCACACGAAUUGAGUCACCACUGAAAUUUCAGCAUCGUGUUGUCAGCAUAUUUUUGGACAAGAAAAACAACGGAGCUCCCACCGGCUUUGCUUUGGGCAGUAUCGAGGGCAGGGUAGCCAUACACUACGUCAAUCCCACCAAUCCAAAGGACAACUUCACAUUCAAAUGUCACAGGUCCAAUGGCACACCCAGUGGCGUGCAAGACAUAUAUGCAGUAAAUGAUAUUGCAUUCCAUCCUGUUCAUGGUACUCUGGCCACCGUGGGUUCAGACUGCAAGUUCAGUUUCUGGGACAAAGAUGCUCGAACCAAACUGAAGACCUCCGAGGCAUUUGACCAGCCCUUGACAUCCUGCUGUUUUAACCCCCAAGGAAACGUCUUUUGUUAUGCCACUAGCUAUGACUGGUCAAAGGGCCAUGAAGGGUUUGAUCCCAACAAAAAGCCCCACAUUUUCUUGAGAUCUUGCUUUGAUGAGCUGAAACCAAGCAUGAAAAAAACCUAGUGAUGAACAGCAUUUUCUACGUUGCAUACCUUGUGUGCAGAUCCAUCCAAGUUCACGUUUAUUGAACAGAGAAAACAUUGUUGAUCAUAAACCACCAAAUCAUGUUGCGCCAGACAUAUGUUCAUAACAUCAUGGACCUGAACAUUUAAGCCUAUUUGAAGUGAUGUUAUCACUUUACUACAUGUACAUUUGAACUCCUGAUUAUUUUCAAUUCAAUGGUCAUAAAGUAAAUGUAUUCUGUAUUGUUUCAUUUUUGUUUAUUCCACCUCUUUUUCUACAUCUUAUGUGCUGCGGGAUAGCAAGAACAAUAACAAUGGUUGUUCUUUCAAACCUUUUGAUAAUUUCAUGUUCAAGACGAAAGUAUUUGUCUAAAUAAAUGCUUGUGCAAGAUAUUAUUUGGAAUUUAUUGAUUAAAGGACUUGCAAG